rnacentral:lncRNA from 1 species
GACUAGUAUCUCAUUUUCCUUUUUUAAGAAGUUUGGCUAAAUGUGUGGUUGAGUGGUUUUAUGACCUUCCCUCUUCCUUCCUUCCUUCCUUCCUUCCUUCCUUCCUUCCUUCCUUCCUUCCUUCCUUCCUUCCUUCCUUCCUUUCUUCCUUCCUUCCUUCCUUCCUUCCUUCCUUCCUUCCUUCCUUCCUUCCUUCCUUCCUUCCUUCCUUCCUUCCUUCCUUCCUUCCUUCCUUCCUUCCUUCCUUCCUUCCUUCCUUCCUUCCUUCCUUCCUUCCCUCCUUCCCUCCUUCCCUCCCUCCCUCCCUCCUUCCCUCCUUCCCUCCUUCCCUCCUUCCUUCCUUUCUUUCUUUCUUUCUUUCUUUCUUUCUUUCUUUCUUUCUUUCUUUCUUUCUUUCUUUCUUUCUUUCUUUCUUUCUUUCUUUCUUUCUUUCUUUCUUUCUCUCUUUCUCUCUUUCUCUCUUUCUCUCUUUCUCUCUUUCUCUCUUUCUCUCUUUCUCUCUUUCUCUCUUUCUCUCUUUCUCUCUUUCUCUCUUUCUCUCUUUCUCUCUUUCUCUCUCUCUUUCUUUCUUUCUUUCUUUCUUUCUCUCAGUUCUCUCUCUCUCUCUUUCUUUCUUUCUUUCUUUCUUUCUUUCUUUCUUUCUUUCUUUCUUUCUUUCUUUCUUUCUUUCUUUCUUUCUUUCUUUCUUUCUUUCUCUCUUAGUGCCUGGCACAGGGCUGAAUAAAUACUA